UACAGAGGGGGCAAGCGUUGUUCGGAAUUACUGGGCGUAAAGGGCGCGUAGGCGGCCUUCUAAGUCGAACGUGAAAUCCCCGGGCUCAACCCGGGAACUGCGUCCGAUACUGGAUGGCUUGAGUUCGGGAGAGGGAUGCGGAAUUCCAGGUGUAGCGGUGAAAUGCGUAGAUAUCUGGAGGAACACCGGUGGCGAAGGCGGCAUCCUGGACCAAUACUGACGCUGAGGAGCGAAAGCCAGGGGAGCAAACGGG
rnacentral:rRNA from 1 species